GCUUCGCGGCUCGGCUCUGGCCGAGUUGACGCCCUUCCGCGUCUCUUAGAGCGAGUGUGCCCGUUGUCCCUUCUGUCCUCAUCCCUGAACCGGUACAGCAGCCUCUCCAUCCCGCUGGGUUUCUCUUGCUCACGAGUUUGCAAGCCUCCGGGUUUCCGCAGGGCCUCUCCCUCUGCCCUCUAAAGAUUCGUGCCCUCCUUCAUUUCCUGUAGAACCCGGAGCUCACUGCCUCUGCAACCGGGGUUGAGAUGUGAGAAACCUCGGAUUCCUCAGACUCCGAGGACCUGAAGGGCCAAGGAGCGGAGCAAAGAGGUUAAAAGUGCUUUGCGGGAUUGUCAUGGGUGAGGGGGAUAGGUGCAGAUGGCAUCGUUGGACGACCUUUAUGUUGGUUGGUUUUGCCCCCCAAACAAAAAAGAAUGGAUGCUCCUCUGUACCCUCUUUCCUGACCCUGUUUAUGGGAACUGUUCUUACACUGAUGUUGGAGUCGGAGGAAAUUGGAGCUGGAGCUGUGAUGAAGCAGCUCCUGAAGAGGUUUUAUUCCCACAAGCGCCGUUCAUAUGGAAAGGCACUUUGAACAAUCUUGUAUUGCAACGACCUAUUCCAGGAAAGCUUUACUUGUUUGAAGAAUGGAUGUGGAGACGUUUGAAUUUUUAGUUAGUAUACUUUGGAUACUGUUAAUUUCUUAGUGUUUUGAUUGCUGUUUCACUAGACUUUUCCACAUUAAAUUUUAGUUUUUUUUUUUAGUCUACUUCUGCAGAACUUUCCAGAAAUUAGGUUAAAAUAUAAUUUAAUACUGUCAGGGAUUGAACAAUUGCUGUCAUGUUCAAUCUGUAUUUACUGCUUUCCAAGGCAUUGUAGAAAGCAAAUGAUAAUCUCAAAAUAAUGGUACUCUGUACGUUGCAGGUUCUGUUAUUAUUCUGUAAGCUACUCUAAGGUAACUAUUUUUUGGAAAUAUUAUUUCUUUAAGAACAGUAAGUAUGUUUAGUCACCCUCCCUCCCAACAUCCUUUUAGCAGUCGAUUCUGUAACUUUGCACUUCCCAGGCCUUAGCAGUAAGCAGGCUCAGAAGAUGUAGCUCCAAAGUCUUCUGGAAAUACACUGUGGGACUCCUCACUUCUCAGAAUGUUGAUUGUCUUCCUUCUCCUUUCCUGGGUAUGUUCACUUGUGAAUGAAGUGCAUAUAUUUAUACAGCCUACCCUUAGGUAAAAGAUCAAAGGUAUUUUCAUAUAUGAGUAGAUACAGUUGAUGGAAGAAGUAUGAAUUAUUCUCCAUUGGUGGAAGUGAAAACUUUCCUCGGUGCUUUUAAUAGUUUAUUUUUCCCUUUGAGGCUGCAUAUAUCAUUCAUCUAGGUUAAAUUUUUAAGUGUUUCAAAUAUUGAGUUUUAUUUGGCACAUAUUGUCAAAAAAAGAUUUUGAGAGUCAGCUUAGUAUUGCCAGAGGAGUUUCUCUGCAUUAUCCUAAAAAUGCUUAGGUAUCUUAUUUACCUUCUCAAAAUGAUCUACCAGCCGUCUCUACAAGGAGCUUACUUUUGCUUUUUGGUUUGUAAAGACGAUGGGUAUUUAUAGCAAAGAAUUGGGAGCUCGUCCUCUUUGCUACUGGAGUGUGAAUGCUUCUGUGUGCUUUUACUCACGUGGUUAGGAUAGAUGGCUUGUGUCCAGUCCAACAACAUAGAUAUUUUGAACUGGAGCUUUUGAAGCUGAGUUUUAGCACGGAGACAGGAGAAUGAUGGAUGGUGUCAGUUUCCUUACACUGCGACCGUCAACUUAAGAUGCUUUAUUUUGGCUGAAGGCUUCAGAACAUGGUUGCUUGUUUUAGUUGUCUGCUUGUCUUGGGGGAACAGCCCCUUACUCUGUCAUACACACCAUGUUAUCAUGUCUCUCUGCAGUGAAGUUAGACCCUGCUUGCUCAUAGCUGGGAGGAAGCAAAGAAAAACAGGAAGCAGUCAGGAUCCUAAUGUUGCCUUCAAAAAUGACUACUUCUGGUCACUAGACCCCACUUGCUAAAGGUUACACCUCCUACCAAUAACACCACAGGCUGGUCAACGAGUCUUUUAACACACAGGCCUUUGGGGGGAUUCUUACCCAAUGCAUACCGUAUGCAAAAAUGACAAACAUGGGAUGCAGGGAAAAACAAAUACAGGCUUGGGCUGGGUUGAUCGCUCAGUGGUGGUGUGAACAUGUGGGAAGUCUGGGUUCAAUUCUCAGCGGAAGAAAAAGUUGGUAGUGUUUAGUACAUUUCAGUAGAGCCCCAAUCCUAUUCUUCAUAUUCCCAGACAUAAGCAAAAUUUAAAAAGUGUGUUGGGUACCUACAAUGUACUCAACAAAGUGGUAGAUACAGAUCUCUUGUUGCACUUACAACACUUGUAUCAGUACACUUUGUACUCAUCAAAUGGUUCUACUCACCAAUAUUUACCUUAGAAGCCUUCCCUUAAAACUGAGAAAUGAGGCAUUAAAAUUUGAAAAGUUGAGCAGAGUGGUAGAGAUGGCUUCGCGGGAAAGGUCUUGUCACCAAGCUUGAUAGCCUGAGUUGUCCCACACUUCCAAUGUGUGAGCAGAAACCUAUGGGGCAUGUGCGCGUAUGCGUGUGUGAACAGAUACACACACACACUCACACACACACCACGCACACUAAAUGUACACACUAUAAAGAAUGAAAGUCCAUCAUUAUUUUUAACAGUGUGCAUCUCUCAUACCCAGGAUGGCCUGGUACUUGACGUGAAACAAAGGAUUGCCUUAAAUUCCUGAUCCUCUGGCCUCGACCUCCCACGAGCUGAGAUUACUGGCGUGCAUCACCACGCCCUGAACCUAUAAGCUCUUAAUGCAAAGACAGGAUAAAUCAAGAGAAUUGGGAACUCCAGCCUGUGUUUGCUCUGCUAGCAGGAAUUCAGCCGCCUGGACAGGGGUCUGACAAUCAUGGCCAGUCAGAAGCUUCCUAGCAGGAAGGGGCGGGAGGCACCAAACGUAGGGGAAAAGAGCACGCGGAAGGUCCCAUCUUCUGCGCUUACUACACUGCCUCUAACUGUCGCCAGCUCCCAACUGAAGCUGCAGCUCGCCGCUCAGCAGCAGGGCGCCUAGGCACCGCGGCACGGGGAGCUGCAGUAUCUGGGGCCGGUGGAGCACAUUAUGCGCUGCGGUUUCAAGGAGGAGAACCGCACGAGCACAGGCACCUUUCGGUGUUCGGCAUGCAGGCGCCAUACAACCUGAGAGGUGACCGCGGCCAGUCCCCACUACCGGGAGGGACUGCGGGAGGACGAGCGACGGGCUGGGCGCAGAGGCGCGGGGCUGGCGGCCUCGGUAAGUCUGACCCCGGCUCAAAGAAUCCUACGCUCUGCGUUCCCGCCCUAGAGCCUCAAGGUGAUAGCUACUGCAGGUAAACCUGGUCCUUAAGGCUUCUUGUUCCUAACCCCCAUUAGGUUCCAACUGGUCGUGCAUCUCCGAGGGUCGGAGUAGAAGAAACCUGCCCAAACCUUGCCCUGAGGUCUCGACUGUGCUCCUCCUCUUCCUUCCCCUUAUCUCCUGCUCCCCUUUGCCGUGUUUUAAAAAGUGGCGCGAAAAUAGCUUAGGCGGUGUUAAAGAGGCACAGAAAAAAACAAACCAAGUCUGAGGUGGAAACUGGGGUUUUCCAAAACAGCCUUGGAUUUUAUAGAGCAACUCAGAGGAUGUGUAAGCCUACAGAGUGGCCCCGGGGAAGAAGUGCUCUUUUGGGGUUCCUGGCACCAAGCAUCAAGCACAAGACUUUGAGUGAGGGUUUACUUAUCUCAAGCAUGGUCUGGAGGAGGGAACUUUAGCAGCUACUGCACGGAUUAACCCAGUGCGCAGGGCCUCCUAGAACUCUGAUGCCCAGUUUUAGUCCCUCUCCUCUGCUUAUACUGUAGACAAGUUAUUCUUCUUCUCUAAUCUGCAUUCAGCUUUCCCACGUAGACCAUGUAGACGGUAAAGAGGAAAGUAUUGCUCUCUGACAAACAUAUACUCUGAGCCUGUCCUCUUUACCUUGUCUGUUGAUUGAGCUCCUGCCCUGCCCCUUUGUCUCUUCUGUUUUGCCUUCAGGUUCGGAGGCAUAAACAUUUCUGUUUUCUGAUGCUAGGUCAGUUUGCUCCCCAAAUGUCUGAAAACUUUUUCAGUUUUUACCAGAGUGAUAUCGCUCUGCCUGGAGCGUGGUGGACUUGGGUAUGAGAGCCUUUAGGUUGUGUCUAGGCCACAAUUUGGGUGUUGUUGUUAAACACCAGUGACAGUGAUAGUGGCUCAGUAGUGGGUGAGGACUUUUUCUCUUUGCCAUAUGGGUACCCCUGUGUCAAUGCAGACCUGUGAUUUCACUGACUUAGCCCGAAGCUGGGUGGGAGUUUCCAGUUUUCCUGAAGCCAAUCCAGGUGAAUUUCCUCUGCUCUCACCAAACGAGUGUUCUGGGAGGGCGUUUUGGAGGAAUUGCUGUGGUUUAUCAAGACUCUGUGUUACAGGUGUUAUAUUUAGGAACUGAUCUUCUGUUCCAUGCUUGGAAGGCUACUAUUCACAUUCCUAUCAGUUUCAGUGUGGUCCGAGUCAUAUUAAGGUCUGUAUCCCCUUUGGACUUGAGUAUUGUGCAUGGUGAUAGAUAUGGAUCUAUUUGCAGUCCUUUACAUGUUGAUAUCCAGUUAUGCCAUAACCAUUUGUUGCAGAUGCUUUCUUUUUUCAUUGUAUAAUUUUAGCUUAUUUGUCAAAAAUCAGGUGUUCAUAGAUGGGAGGAUUAAUAUCUGACUCUUUGAUUCAAUUCCGUCAUUCAACCUGUCUGUGUUUUUGCCCAUCAUCUCUUCCUCAAACCUCCAAAAUGAACUGUUUGCUUCAUUAAAACAUAUGUUCCCAGUAGUCUCAAUCAUCUCAAUGUACCAUUUUGAUAUUGUCCCGAGCAGUUUGUAGUCCAAACCUGAUGUUUAGAUGGUGAAACAAUAACAUAGUGCAGUUGAAAUCUUCCUUGCGUGACUCACACUUCUUUUGGAGACUUCAAAGGUCACUGUAAUGCACGCUCAUAUUUCAUUGCAAAAAACUUAAGCAUUUUAAUUGUCACAUGCUGCAGAUAUGUAAGAGGUUAAAGGAUGAGUAUUUGUUAUGUAUGCCUAGAUAACAGAUAGAGACUCAAGCCCAAAAUUAAAUACAGGAAGCUAGAUGAAACCUUUCCCUAGAAUUAGUUACUUCCCUGUAUGAUCAUUAAUAUUAUGGCUAAAGGGAUAUUUGUUGUUAAUCUCUCCCAAGAAAUUACUGUAAGCUCUUUUCCAAUGUUCACUUCCUGUCCAUAAUGAUUCAAUCUCAACAUUAGUAAAACAUGCUACAAUUUAACCUUGGUAAAUUCUUGCUAAUAGAUGAAGUUUCAGUUUUCUUUUUAAAAACAACUCAGUUUUUUUCCACAUAACUUUUUAGUUUUUUAGUAUGUUUAUAUGUUUAAAAUAUCGAUUAUAAGAUAAUAUCUUUCCUCUGCAGUAAAAUUUCUAUAGGAAAUACAUAGAAUAUAAAAUGUCUAGAAUGAAGGCCAGGAGGUGAUGGCUCAAGCCUUUAAUCCCAGCACUUGGAAGGCAGAGGCAGGUGGAGUUCAAGGCCAGCCUGGUCUAGAAGAGCUUGUCCAGGACACAUUCCAAAGCAACAAAGAAACCUGUAUCAAAAAAAGUCUUGAAUGUAAUCAAACUUCACAUCCAAACAAUCCAUAAGUGCCUCCUAUAAUUUCAUUUCCAUUAAACCAUUUUUUCUUCUGCUUUAGAUGAUAAUUCUCUUUGACUAUUUAAAUCCUUGUCACCUUUUAUGGUUUGAUUCUGAUUACUGUUUAUAAUUUUUUACUGCAAUAGUGGGAUAUAGAUGGUCAAUGUCUUUUUUUUUUCUUUAGUUGUUGAAGAAAAAAAAUUCCAGCCUCCUCCCCAUUUUCCAUUUCCCACCCCUCCUCCCACACACUGCCCCCUCCCCCUCUCCCCCCCACUCUAUUCCCCCUCCCUCUCGAGAAUGAAGAGCAGUCCAGAUUCCCUGCCCUAGGGAAGUCCAAGGUCCUCCCACUUCUAUCCAGGUCCAGGAGGGUGAGCAUCCAAACAGGCUAGGCUCCCACAAAGCCAGUUCAUGUAUUAGGAUCAAAACCUAGUGCCAUUGUCCUUGGCUACUCAUCAGCCUUCAUUGUCUGCCAUGUUCAGAAAGUUCGGUUUCAUCCCUUGCUUAUUCAGUCCCAGUCCUGCUGGCCUUGGUGAGCUCCCAAUAGAUCAGUUCCACUGUCACAGUGGGUGGGUGCACCCCUCGUGGUCCUGAGUUCCUUGCUCAUGUUCUCCCUCCUUCUGCUCCUCAUUUGGAUCUUAAGAGCUCAGUCCGGUGCUCCUAUUUGGGUCUCUGUCUCUAUCUUGAUCCAUCGCCAGAUGAAGGUUCUAAGGUGAUAUGCAAGAUAUUCAUCAGUAUGGCUAUAGGAUAGGGUCAUUUCAGGUUCCCUCUCCUCAGUUGCCCAAGGUACUAUCUGGGGUCAUCUCCCUCGACACCUGCGAGCCCCUCUAGAGUCAAGGCUCUUGCCAACCCUAAGAUGGCUUCCUUAAUUAGGAUAUAUAUUUCUCUGCUCCCGUGUCCCACCCAUCCCAUUCCCCCAUCCCAUUCCAUUCCCCUAAGCUCCCCCAAUCCUCCUCUUCUCACGUUUCUCACCCCAAUUCCCCUUAGCCCCAUACCACCUCACCCCCAAAUUCCCAGUUUUUUCCCGGCAAUCUUGUCUACUUCCCAUAUCCAGGCAGAUGAGUAUAUGUUUUUCUUUGGGUUCACCUUCUUAUUUAGCUUCUCUAGGAUCACAAAUUAUAUGCUCAAUGUCCUUUAUUUAUGGCUAGAAACCAAUUAUGAGUGAGUACAUCCCAUGUUCAUCUUUUUGGGUCUGGGAUACCUCACUCAGGAUAGUGUUUUCUAUUUCCAUCCAUUUGCAUGCAAAAUUCACCAAGUCAUUGUUUUUUUACCGCUGAGUAGUACUCUAAUAUGUAAAUGUUCCACACUUUCUUCAUCCAUUCUUCUAUUGAAGGGCAUCUAGGUUGUUUCCAGGUUCUGGCUAUUACAAAUAAUGCUGCUAUGAACAUAGUUGUACAAAUGCUUUUGUCAUAUGAAAGGGCAUCUCAUGGGUAUAUUCCCAAGAGUGGAAUUACUGGAUCUUGGGGUAGGUUGAUCUCAAAUUUCCUGAGAAACCGCCACACUGAUUUCCAAAGUGGUUGUACAAGUUUGCAUUCCCACCAGCAAUGGAUGAGUGUACCCCUUACUCCACAACCUCUCCAGCAAAGGCUAUCAUUGGUGUUUUUUAUUUUAGCCAUUCUGACAGGUGUAAGAUCUUAUCUCAAUGUUGUUUUAAUUUGCAUUUCCCUGAUUGCCAAGGAGGUUGAGCAUGACCUUAAGUGUCUUUUGGCCAUUUGAAUUUCUUCUGUCAAGAAUUCUCUGUUCAGUUCAGUGCCCCAGUUUUUAAUUGGAUUAAUUAGCAUUUUAAAGUCUAGUUUCUUGAGUUCUUUAUAUAUUUUGGAGAUCAGACCUUUGUCUAUUGCAGGAUUGGUGAAGAUCUUCUCCCAGUCAGUGGGCUGCCUUUUUGUCUUAGUGACAGUGUCCUUUGCUUUACAGAAGCCUCUCAGUUUCAGGAGGUCCCAUUUAUUCAAUGUUGUCCUUAAUGUCUGUGCUGCUGGGGAUAUAUGUAGGACGUGAUCUCCUGUGCCCAUAUGUUAUAGAGUACUUCCCACUUUCUCUUCUAUUAGGUUCAGUGUGUUCAGCCUGAUAUUGAGGUCUUUGAUCCAUUUGAACUUGAGUUUUGUGCAUGGUGAUAGAUAUGGAUCUAUUUUCAUUCUUCUACAGGUUGACAACCAGUUCUGCCAGCACCAUUUGUUGAAGAUGCUUUCUUUCUUCCAUUGAAUACUUUUAGCUCCUUUAUCAAAAAUGUUCAUAGGUUUGUGGGUUAAAAUCUGGGUCUUCUACUCUAUUCCAUUGAUUGACUUCUCUGUUUUUAUGCCAAUACCAAGCUGUUUUCAAUACUGAAGGAAGCUCUGUAAUAGAGUUUGAAGUGAGGGAUGGUAAUGCCUCCAGAAGUUCCGUUAUUGUAUAAGAUUGUUUUGGCUAUCCUGGGUUUUUUGUUUUUCCAUAUAAAGUUGAUUAAUGUCUUCUCAAGAUCAGUGAAGAAUUUCGAUGGGAUUUUAAUGGGGAUUGCAUUUAAUCUAUAAAUUGCCCUUGGUAGAAUUGCCAUUUUAACUAUGUUGAUCCUCCCAAUCCAAGAGCAAGGGAGAUCCUUCCAUUUUCUGGUAUCCUCCUCAAUUUCUUUCUUCAAAGACUUAAAGUUCUUGUCAAAUAGAUCAUUCGCUUCCUUGGUUAGAGUUACCCCAAGAUAUUUUAUGCUAUUUGUGGCUAUUGUGAAAGGUGAUGCUUCUCUGAUUUCCCUCUCUGCUUCCUUAUCCUUUGUGUAUAGGAGGGCAACUGAUUUUUUGGAAUUGAUUUUGUAUCCUGCCAUGCUACUAAAGGUGUUUAUCAGCUGUAGGAGUUCUUUGGUCGAGCUUUUGGGGUCGCUUAUGUACACUACCAUAUGAUCUGCAAAUAAUGAAAGUUUAAUUUCUUCCUUACCAAUUCGAAUUCCUUUGAUCCCCUUAUGUUGUCUUAUUGCUAUUCCUAGAACUUCAAGGACUAUAUUGAAGAGGUAUGGAGAGAGUGGACAGCCUUGUCAUGUUCCUGAUUUUAGUGGAAUGGCUUUUAGUUUCUCUCCAUUUAAUUUGAUGUUAGCUGUCGGCUUGCUAUAAAUAGCUUUUAUUAUAGUUAGGUAUGACCAUUGUAUCCCUAAUCUCUCUGAGACCUUUAUCAUAAAGAAAUGUUGAAUUUUGUCAAAUGCUUUUUCAGCAUCUAAUGAAAUGAUCAUAUGGUUUUUUUCUUUCAGUUUAUUUAUAUGAUAGAUUACAUUGAUAGAUUUUCGUGUGUUGAACCAGCCCUGCAUUCCUGGGAUGAAGCCUACUUGAUCAUAAUGGAUAAUUUCUCUAAUGUGUUCUUGGAUUCGGUUUGCCAGUAUUUUAUUGAUGAUUUUCGCAUCGAUGUUCAUGAGUGAGACUGGCCUGUAAUUUUCUUUCUUGGUUGAGCCUUUGUGUGGUUUUGGUAUCAGGAUAACUGUAGCUUCACAGAAGGAAUUUGGCAAUGACUUUUCUGUUUCUAUAUUGUGAAAUACAUUAAAGGAGUAUAGGUAUUAGGUCUUCUUGGAAGUUCUGGUAGAAUUCUGCAUUGAAACCGUCUGGACCUGGGCUUUUUUUGGUAGGGAGGUUUUUUAUAACAACUUCUAAUUCUUUGUGACUAACAGGUCUAUUUAGAUUGUUCACCUGGUCCUGGUCUAACUUUGGUAUAUGGUACUUAUCUAAAAAAGUGCCCAUUUCUUUAAUAUUUUUCAAUUUUGUGGCAUACAGGCCUUUGUAGUAAGAUCUAAUGCUUUUCUGAGUUUCCUCUGUGUCUGUGGUUAUGUCUCCCUUUUCAUUUCUGAUC